UACGGCGGGUGCAAGCGUUAUCCGGAUUCACUGGGUUUAAAGGGUGCGUAGGUGGGCCGGUAAGUCAGUGGUGAAAUCUCCGGGCUUAACCCGGAAACUGCCAUUGAUACUAUCUGUCUUGAAUACCGUGGAGGUGAGCGGAAUAUGUCAUGUAGCGGUGAAAUGCUUAGAUAUGACAUAGAACACCAAUUGCGAAGGCAGCUCACUACACGAAUAUUGACACUGAGGCACGAAAGCGUGGGGAUCAAACAGG
rnacentral:rRNA from 1 species